AUGAAACUUCAAAGUCGGCUUUGUCAUCUGUGCUGGUGGAGACACAUGUGCACGUUGGCGAGUCGCAAAUCCCAUCACACCUGUGCAUCUAUGACUCUGAGUACCGCUUUGCAUGGGCCCGUCAAAAAGGCCCUGGUACUCGAGUAACUUUACACACUCUGAAUGUAAUGGAAUGUCUAUUGUACAAUGUACAACCAAAAA
rnacentral:misc_RNA from 1 species